rnacentral:rRNA from 1 species
GAUGAACGCUGGCGGCGUGCCUAAUACAUGCAAGUCGAACGAACAGAGGAGGAGCUUGCCCCUCUUCCGUUAGCGGCGCGCACGUGAGUGACACGUGGAUACCAUCCCUCUAACACUGGGAGAACAUCGUGAGACACGACCUCAAACACGAUAAUCGAUUUAAUCUCAUGAUUCAAUAUUGAAAGACGGUUUUCCUUUCACGUAUACAUGCAUUCGAGCCGCAUUAUGCGGCUGAUUAGCUAGCUGGUUAGGUAAAGGCCCAUCAAGGGGAUGAUCAGUAGCCGGUCUGAGAGGAGGAACGGCCACAUUGGGACUGAGACACGGCCCAGACUCCUACGGGAAGCAGGAGGGGGGAAUCUUCCGCAAUGGACGAAAGGCUGACGGGGCAACGCCGGGGGAGGGAUGACGGGCUUUGGGUUGUAAAGCUCUGUUUAUCGGGACGAAAGGACUUCUUACGAAUAGUGGGAAGGAUUGACGGUACCGGAACAGAAAGCCACGGCUAACUACGUG